rnacentral:ncRNA from 1 species
GAAAAACUGUUGAGCAGGAGUAAGUAAGAUUUUAACAUCAUGCACAGAGAGCUUCCGGUUGGUGGGAGGAAGCGUUGAUGUCUGGUCUGAAUGGACCUGCGAGGGCGGCUUGAAACCGGUUUUAUAAUCGGGAGUAGGUGUCGACGGGUUUCCUAUCCGUUAUCAAGGGGAGGCACAUGUUAGUGUGUUAUAAAGCGGGAGAAGUCUAUCUUCUCCAAUCAGGGUGGUACCACGGAACCGUAAUUUACAGGCUUUCGUCCCUCUU